UGCAGGGUCAUUAUGUAACUCGGUGAACGCUUUAAAAUCACAGUCACGACAACAAAUGACAGCGAUUUUUCGUUUUUGCGAUCAUGUAACACACAUCUCCCACCGAAAUGACGUCAUCUUGGAUCGUUCUCUGUCACGGUCACUUGUAGGGAUUUAUCCAAGUUAUAACGCAGUUUUUACGUAUCGAUAGUCAGUUUAAGCGAUUAUGUAAGCCUAGUGAUCAUACAACUGGGUGACACAGAAGUUGUCAAAGUCAAUCGCUAUAGAAACUAAUACCGAGCAGUGUUUUAAUAAAGUUUACUUGACGCCUGUGAUUCAAUAAUUACAAAUAAAAGUACUUUUAGGAUUUUUUUGAAUUUUGUACUAUACCUUGUAAGUAAGGUAUUAGUUUGUAAGUCAAUAAAAUCAGAAUUAGAAAAGUUUUUCAUGUAAAAUAUGACGAAAGUUGAGAAUAUAUAGUAGGUACCUACCUACAUACUUAUUUCAUAAAGCAGAAUUACAGUUUUAGAGUUAGUUGAAGUGAAUUUAAUUAAUUGUGUUAUUUUUGUAGUGUUUACCGACAUUGCCAUGUACAAUACAAUGCAUGUAGCAUUUGUAUUGUACGCGGAAACGGAACGAAAAAGAUGUCUUUGUCGAGUUCAUUGCAAAACUUUCGUGUCGCGAUACCAGCAGGUUUUAGAAGAAAUACAAAGUCUUCGAACAACUGCUGUUCGCAAUGAAUUAGAGAUAAGUAAGUUAUAUGAAUGAAUGAAGGAAUUUUCUUCAUUCUCUGCGUUGAGCAAGUGACGUGGACUAUGGGCCUAACCCCUCUCAUUCUGAGAGGAGACUCGAGCUCAGCAGUGAGCCAAAUAUGGUAUUUUUAUAUGGUCUUGGCAGCUUUAAACUUUUAUGCCAAUGGAUCAUACAAAUGGCUUUGUGAUGGCUAAGGCAUCUUUUAGCAAAUGCCUACAUGAAGUCGCUGACGCUCCUGAAUACCCCAGCUGUUUAAAAAAAUGUGUUAAGUUCCCUUUGCAUUAAACACAAAAUCAUUAUAAAUAAAUAUGUGAUGCCAAUCUAAUAAUAACAUAGUGGAUGCUCAAUUUGGUGGUGCAUCUUAUGACUUGUACAUAUGGAACCAGUGCAAUAAGACCACUUGAGGAAAACCUGCCCAAUAGGGACCGCUGUUGGUUGUUAGGUAAGCUGUUGCUUAGGUGACCAAUGUUUGCAUGAUGACCCCCAUCUUGGGAGCUGCUCCUAGAUCCCAUGAAGAUAUGGACAACAUUGCUGUGUCAGAAAUACGGUGGAGCCUUGUAGUUGGGUGCAUAUUGUAAAAUGUUUCCUCACUCCAAAACCAUGAACUCUGGUUUCCUAAACCCUCAAGCUAUGCAGCCGAAGGAGGAGACUUAUCACAGGAGAAUCACUAAUAGUUUUGAAGAAGUGAAGAGCUUAACAAUGUUUCAACCAACACCUAAAGAAGCUUUCACUUGGCUGUUAGAUCAAGGGCUGGAUACAGAAAACAGUAAUCCUUGUGAUGGCAGUAUUGUCCAAGGAUUCCUCACUCAAAACCAUGAUAACAAGUUGCUAGAACCCUCAAGCUAUGCAGACAAAGGACUGGAUAUAUUUUUUCGUGACCAAGCCUUCUGUAUAAUUAUUUAUACUUAAACCAUACAAAGCACUAUCUAGCCCCAAAGUAGGCAUACAGAGUAGCUUGUGUUGUGGGUACUAAGAUAGUUGAUAUUAUAAUAUUCAUUUACAUUUAUAUACUACCUAUAAA